UACAGAGGUCCCGAGCGUUGUUCGGAUUCACUGGGCGUAAAGGGUGCGUAGGUGGUGGGAUAAGUCGGAUGUGAAAUCUCGGAGCUUAACUCCGAAACUGCAUUGGAAACUGUCCUGCUAGAGGGUUGGAGGGGGGGACUGGAAUACUUGGUGUAGCAGUGAAAUGCGUAGAUAUCAAGUGGAACACCGGUGGCGAAGGCGAGUCCCUGGACAACACCUGACACUGAGGCACGAAAGCUAGGGGAGCAAACAGG
rnacentral:rRNA from 1 species